GAACCAAGCUAUUGCACUCAACGUUGACACAGCUGUUGAAGACACUCGGUGAAAGUUUCAUUGAAAAAUCAGCACCCUCAGAAAGCCUCAGUGCCAAAGAACAAUGCAUUGAGAAGCCGGUACAGCUCACAGCUGCAGCACAAAUCCCCUUGAACAUACAGAGCUAAUUUACACAGGCAUACAAUGCAUGCCCAUAAACCUGAGACACAGUUCUGCUCCUUAAUAAAGGGAAAUGCACAGCCAUGGUCCUGAAGUCAGAUUUCCAUAAGGCUUGACAACAAACCAGAUGUCUUCACUAAAUGAAAAGCAUAUCCUCUUUUUUUCCUUUUUAAGUUUAACAAGAGAAAUAUUGGACACCAGGGAUGAUUCGUUGUAUGACGAACAAACAGGGGCUAUAGCAAAGGAGAAAUUCCCAUGCACAUACUAUCAUGCCAUCUGCAGGGAAGAUACUACAUAUGGGAGUAAGGAAGAGGAAACACAGAAAAGAAACCUAUAAAGCAAGUCUGCCUCUCUUUUAACAUGCAAAUUAAAGUCAUUCUGUAGUAGUCUAAAAACACUCUAGGGAUUUGCAGUGGCCAUCUGAAAGCUGCUAAGCUUCACAAUAACAUGACCCUGUGAAAACAUCUGGCUUUAGAUGAAGAUCUCACAGAAACAUCCCAUUCUGUCAGCCUCAGCUGAAUUUGGAAGUGUUUUGUCACUUUUGUGUUUGGAGUCUGUUGGUGGUGUAUGCCCCUAUAGUCCUUCCCUGAAAAGCUAUUCAGGUCUAUUGAAAAUAACAGGAUCAACAGCAUGGCAUAUAGAGCCAAUCCAUUAGGCUUCCUCUGACCCCAUCUUUAAAUAUUCAGGAUAAAUGCUAUUUGUUUGUUUUGUUUCUAUCCAUGAAAGUAUUGGAGUGUUUCUUAUCAGCAAUGCAUAUAGCAAGG